UACGUAGGUGGCAAGCGUUGUUCGGAAUUAUUGGGCGUAAAGGGCGCGUAGGCGGUUUGUUAAGUCGGCUGUGAAAGCCCAUGGCUCACCCAUGGAACUGUCCCUCGGACUGCAGGGCUGGAGGGCGGGAGGGGAGAAUGGAAUUCCCGGUGUAGCGGUGAAAUGCGUAGAUAUCGGGAGGAACGCCGGUGGCGAAAGCGAUUCUCUGGCCCGUUCCUGACACUGAGGCGCGAAAGCUAGGGGAGCGAACAGG
rnacentral:rRNA from 1 species